CCAUGAUGAGACUCCAGCUGGCACCAGUCAUAGAGUGACUUGUACUCCCUUUCCUUGAUGACCAAAUUGCUGUGGUCCUUAGACCUCCUCUGAC
rnacentral:snoRNA from 1 species